GAAUGUUUAAUGUCUCCACAGAGCCCUGCUUUUUUUCUCUCUUCUCAGCAUGUCAGAGGACGUCUCCUUACCUCGCCUCCCCCGCUGCCUGUUAGCCAAGCCAGCUGUCCCUGCACACAGCUAGCACGCAUGCACACACAAACUACCUCAUAGGAGCCCAGACUCUGGACAGGUGCAUAGCAUAGGUAUGACAGGACCAAGUAUGCAACUUGGACCCCAACGUAUAUGCAUUGGAAGAGGAAGAAAGCAAGCAAGGGAGGUAAAAACAGGAAAUUACCUGCAACUUUUCUCCAGACUGCUGCUCUGAUUCGGUGAAGAGACUUUGGAAUCAUUGGAUCCUGUACUGUGGCCUGGUGUCAGGGAUGACCCAUGGGCUUUGCAGCACUGUGGCCAGAACAUGGAGACUAUUGAGAAAGCAGCCUGAGAUGCCCCCUAAAGUCGUCUGAGUUACCAGAUAAUGCUCUUAUUCUAGAAAAUUGGAUCAUUUCUGGCCACCCUCUCAAAUCCUCAGCUGGGUGAGAAUGCUCUACCGGGAACAGAGCUAUUGGUCUCACCAGUAUAAUUGCAGGAACUUUGUGAGAGUUUGGAACAUGCAGAUUCACACUCACUUGAAAGUUAACACAGUGCCAGACAUGUAGGCCUUUUGGGACAAUCCUUUUGAUACAAUUGUAUAUUUGUGUAUUUGAGGAAAUGAUACAUUUUCAUCACGUAUGGGUGGAGAUGUAUUACUGUACCAAUACUUUACUUAAAAGCAGUGUUGAUGUGGCUAUAUAAAACCUAC
ensembl:lncRNA